rnacentral:rRNA from 1 species
UACGAAGGGGGCUAGCGUUGCUCGGAAUGACUGGGCGUAAAGGGCGCGUAGGCGGCUUGCACAGUCAGGCGUGAAAUUCCUGGGCUCAACCUGGGGACUGCGCUUGAGACGUGUGGGCUUGAGUGGGGAAGAGGGUCGUGGAAUUCCCAGUGUAGAGGUGAAAUUCGUAGAUAUUGGGAAGAACACCGGUGGCGAAGGCGGCGACCUGGUCCUUGACUGACGCUGAGGAGCGAAAGCGUGGGGAGCGAACAGG